AAGUCGUAACAAGGUUUCCGUAGCAUAAGUUAGGAACAUGAUUCUUCCACAAUAAAAACUUAUAGAAGCCUUAGUAGCCCAGAGAUGGGAGGCCACACGACUGAAAAGAAAGUGGCUGCUUGCUAGUUGACAUGUAAUUGUCAGCAACACAACCGGACUGACGGGAACACCUAUUAUACGUAUAGUGUUAUAGGUAACCCACAGCGAACCCCUCUAAGCAUCAAUGCUAAGUGGGAACGUAUACAGACUAAAUGGUUGUGGGUAGAUCAUUCCACGGAAUGCUCUAUUUGAGAUAUAGUCGGGCCUGAUACUCAUUCAUCAGGGUGUCCCACCUGUCAUUCAUGAAUGUGAAAACUUUAGUAUAAUUUCAAUUUCACGAUUAUGAAUUUCAUGACACGACAAACCGUUCCGUAGGUGAACCUGCGGAAGGAUCAUUACAGAGAACAUGCCCUUCGGGGUAGAUCUCCCACCCUUUGUCUACCUUACUUUGUUGCUUUGGCGGGCCCGUCUACCGACCGCCGGCCACUGCUGGUCAGUGCCUGCCAGAGGACCCCAAACUCUUAUUAAUGUCGUCUGAUUACAAUAUAAUAUAUUAAAACUUUCAACAACGGAUCUCUUGGUUCUGGCAUCGAUGAAGAACGCAGCGAAAUGCGAUAAGUAAUGUGAAUUGCAGAAUUCAGUGAAUCAUCGAAUCUUUGAACGCACAUUGCACCCUCUGGUAUUCCGGGGGGUAUGCCUGUUCGAGCGUCAUUAUAACCCUCAAGCUCUGCUUGGUAUUGGAUGAAAUAGUCAUCAUCCUAAAAUCAGUGGCGGUGCACUCGGCUUCCAGCGUAAUAAUUCUCUCGCUGUGGAAUCCUAGGCGUGCGUUUGCCAACAACCCUCAUUCUUCCAAAGGUUGACCUCGGAUCAGGUAGGGAUACCCGCUGAACUUAAGCAUAUCAAUAAGCGGAGGAAAAGAAACCAACAGGGAUUGCCUUAGUAACGGCGAGUGAAGCGGCAACAGCUCAAAUUUGAAAUCUGGCCGUCUGGUCCGAGUUGUAAUUUGUAGAGGAUGCUUCGAACGUGGUCUGGUCUAAGUUCCUUGGAACAGGACGUCAUAGAGGGUGAGAAUCCCGUAUGCGACUAGGUGCCUUAGUUCAUGUGAAGCUCCUUCGACGAGUCGAGUUGUUUGGGAAUGCAGCUCAAAAUGGGUGGUAUAUUUCAUCUAAAGCUAAAUAUUGGCCAGAGACCGAUAGCGCACAAGUAGAGUGAUCGAAAGAUGAAAAGCACUUUGGAAAGAGAGUUAAACAGUACGUGAAAUUGUUGAAAGGGAAGCGCUUGCAACCAGACUUGCAUGCAGUUGAUCAUCCGAUGUUCUCACCGGUGCACUCGAUUGUAUUCAGGCCAGCAUCGGUUUCAGUGGUUGGAUAAAGGCCAUGGGAAUGUAGCUUCUUUUGGGGAGUGUUAUAGCCCAAGGUGCAAUGCAGCCUACUGGGACCGAGGACCGCGCUUCGGCUAGGAUGCUGGCGUAAUGGUUGUAAGCGACC
rnacentral:ncRNA from 1 species